rnacentral:sRNA from 1 species
GGCUGUUCCCCUCUGGAGGUUUUUGACCUUCACACUUAUAAGGGCCCUGGUUUUCCAGUGGCCCUCUUUUUUUGCCUUU